AUGAAAAGGGUGCAGCAUACGGCCAAAGAUUUCCCCCCGCAAUAUUACCCUGCAGCUCUGCCGAGGCAGAACUAUGAAGCUUACCAGAUACCGGUGACAAAAAUGACACACCAGGACCAGAACAAUCAACCAAAUUUGACGCUCGAACAACCGACGACGACGGGCCAUAAUACUCACGAUUAUAAUAGAAGAAGCACCUCUGGGUUAAAUGCCCAAAUCGUCCGCAGAUCUGACACUAUAUGCGGGAUUGAAACCCUCUUGCGCGACCUCUAGACGGGGGACGAUCACCACGAAUUGAGCCCACUAGAGCGGACGACAGAACGGCUUCUAAAAGAUUGGCAUAAAGAGGCACAUCCUGUACUGUACGCACCUACUGACUCUCAUACUCAAGCAACACACCGAUGAGACGUUGAAGCGGCAGAGGCUCCGACGAGAACGACAGUAAGGUAAUGACAGCAUCGAACUCCGGAGAUUAUGACGAAGACGAGAAAGCUUCGUACCUGUAAUGGCAGCGAAGAGACGAGUAGCAGUGUUUCAUACAUCACACAUCGUUCGAGCCUCUGUAAAAGAAGACAGGAGCGAGGGAUUAAUUGUGAAGAGUAACCAAAAAGUAAGUAACCUUUCUUGUUGAACAAACGCCGAGGCAUCUGGAUUCAGAACGAACGAGCCCUCCAGAGACUGCACAAACUGCAGUGGAGCAGGUAUCGUUCCAUCCAAAAAAUCAGUUAGCUCGUAUCCUUCAACGAUUAACCUAACAUGCUGCUGCCAUUGAACUAAAGUGCCUUCAUCCAACUUGACAGUCUCAAGGCGAGGAAAUGAGUGAACGAGCCUAGCACCAAUGAACGCCGGACAUCCAUGUUCGACGGAGGCAGGCAGAAUCAGCAAAAGCUGUGGUGGUCAUGAAAGCAGACUGAAAACAGGUCUCCAGCACCUUAGGCGACUGAUACCAUGUUAGCACCUAUGGUGAGUUAGCAAUGUAAAUUGAACCAAAUGAAACUAUACUUAGUAUUGAAAGAAUGUAUUUAGUAAAGAAAGAAUUCUUUUGUGUUUAGUCUAGUAUAUCUUGUAUGUACAUUGUAACAAUAGUAUUUAUAGAACACAUGAGUAAUUGCUAUUGCUAACAA